GCGGGGGUAGCAAAGCGGUCUACUGCGCACGGUUGAGGGCCGUGUGGCUUAGUGCCUUCGGGAGUUCGAAUCUUCCCCCCCGCA
rnacentral:tRNA from 1 species